rnacentral:rRNA from 1 species
AUUGAACGCUGGCGACAUGCCUUACACAUGCAAGUCGAACGGCAGCACGGGUGCUUGCACCUGGUGGCGAGUGGCGCACGGGUGAGUAAUACAUCGGAACAUGUCCUGUAGUGGGGGAUAGCCCGGCGAAAGCCGGAUUAAUACCGCAUACGAUCUAAGGAUGAAAGCGGGGGCCCUUCGGGCCUCGCGCUUUGGGGUUGGCCGAUGGCUGAUUAGCUAGUUGGUGGGGUAAAGGCCUACCAAGGCGACGCUCAGUAGCCGGUCUGAGAGGGCGACCAGACACACUGGGAGUGAGACACGGCCCAGACUCCUACGGGGGGCAGGAGUGGGGAAUUUUGGACAAGGGGCGAACGCCUGAUCCCGCAAUGCCGCGUGUGUGAAGAAGGCCUGCGGGUUGUAAAGCACUUUUGUCCGGAAAGAAAUCCUUGGCCCUAAUACGGUCGGGGGAUGACGGUACCGGAAGAAUAAGCACCGGCUAACUACG